rnacentral:lncRNA from 1 species
UGUUAUGAUCCGCCUUUUUGCCGCCCUGGUCUAUCGUUCCCGGCUAGCUCUCGGGGAAGUCAGGGGUGUUUUCGACCCGAUAGCCAGGGGACGGAUUUAACAAAAAAAAACCUACUUUCUCGCGUGUAACGGACAGAUCUAAUUUUUCUUACACGCGUCUACGUUGGCACUCUCCUCGGCGGGGUCAGUCGGUGUUUCUUUGACCAUUGCGAGUCCCUCCCA